rnacentral:rRNA from 1 species
UACGUAGGGUGCGAGCGUUAAUCGGAAUUACUGGGCGUAAAGCGUGCGCAGGCGGUUUUGUAAGCCAGAUGUGAAAGCCCCGGGCUCAACCUGGGAACAGCGCUUGAGACUGGCACGCUCGAGUUCGGGAGAGGAUGGUGGAAUUCCCAGUGUAGAGGUGAAAUUCGUAGAUAUUGGGAAGAACACCGAUGGCGAAGGCAGCCAUCUGGACCAUUUCUGACGCUGAGGCGCGAAAGCGUGGGGAGCAAACAGG